rnacentral:rRNA from 1 species
GACGUGCUAAUCUGCGAUAAGCGUCGGUAAGGUGAUAUGAACCGUUAUAACCGGCGAUUUCCGAAUGGGGAAACCCAGUGUGUUUCGACACACUAUCAUUAACUGAAUCCAUAGGUUAAUGAGGCGAACCGGGGGAACUGAAACAUCUAAGUACCCCGAGGAAAAGAAAUCAACCGAGAUUCCCCCAGUAGCGGCGAGCGAACGGGGAGCAGCCCAGAGCCUGAAUCAGUGUGUGUGUUAGUGGAAGCGUCUGGAAAGGCGCGCGAUACAGGGUGACAGCCCCGUACACAAAAAUGCACAUGCUGUGAGCUCGAUGAGUAGGGCGGGACACGUGGUAUCCUGUCUGAAUAUGGGGGGACCAUCCUCCAAGGCUAAAUACUCCUGACUGACCGAUAGUGAACCAGUACCGUGAGGGAAAGGCGAAAAGAACCCCGGCGAGGGGAGUGAAAAAGAACCUGAAACCGUGUACGUACAAGCAGUGGGAGCACGCUUAGGCGUGUGACUGCGUACCUUUUGUAUAAUGGGUCAGCGACUUAUAUUCUGUAGCAAGGUUAACCGAAUAGGGGAGCCGAAGGGAAACCGAGUCUUAACUGGGCGUUAAGUUGCAGGGUAUAGACCCGAAACCCGGUGAUCUAGCCAUGGGCAGGUUGAAGGUUGGGUAACACUAACUGGAGGACCGAACCGACUAAUGUUGAAAAAUUAGCGGAUGACUUGUGGCUGGGGGUGAAAGGCCAAUCAAACCGGGAGAUAGCUGGUUCUCCCCGAAAGCUAUUUAGGUAGCGCCUCGUGAAUUCAUCUCCGGGGGUAGAGCACUGUUUCGGCAAGGGGGUCAUCCCGACUUACCAACCCGAUGCAAACUGCGAAUACCGGAGAAUGUUAUCACGGGAGACACACGGCGGGUGCUAACGUCCGUCGUGAAGAGGGAAACAACCCAGACCGCCAGCUAAGGUCCCAAAGUCAUGGUUAAGUGGGAAACGAUGUGGGAAGGCCCAGACAGCCAGGAUGUUGGCUUAGAAGCAGCCAUCAUUUAAAGAAAGCGUAAUAGCUCACUGGUCGAGUCGGCCUGCGCGGAAGAUGUAACGGGGCUAAACCAUGCACCGAAGCUGCGGCAGCGACGCUGAUGCGUUGUUGGGUAGGGGAGCGUUCUGUAAGCCUGCGAAGGUGUGCUGUGAGGCAUGCUGGAGGUAUCAGAAGUGCGAAUGCUGACAUAAGUAACGAUAAAGCGGGUGAAAAGCCCGCUCGCCGGAAGACCAAGGGUUCCUGUCCAACGUUAAUCGGGGCAGGGUGAGUCGACCCCUAAGGCGAGGCCGAAAGGCGUAGUCGAUGGGAAACAGGUUAAUAUUCCUGUACUUGGUGUUACUGCGAAGGGGGGACGGAGAAGGCUAUGUUGGCCGGGCGACGGUUGUCCCGGUUUAAGCGUGUAGGCUGGUUUUCCAGGCAAAUCCGGAAAAUCAAGGCUGAGGCGUGAUGACGAGGCACUACGGUGCUGAAGCAACAAAUGCCCUGCUUCCAGGAAAAGCCUCUAAGCAUCAGGUAACAUCAAAUCGUACCCCAAACCGACACAGGUGGUCAGGUAGAGAAUACCAAGGCGCUUGAGAGAACUCGGGUGAAGGAACUAGGCAAAAUGGUGCCGUAACUUCGGGAGAAGGCACGC